CCGAUAGCAAACUUCCUGAUAAUCAGGCUGGUUAUGAGAAAGCUCUUAAUUUAACACUAGCGGUUCAAACCGGAGCUAAUCUUAUU
rnacentral:ncRNA from 1 species